rnacentral:lncRNA from 1 species
GGCGAGACUAGGAUAUCGGACACCGAUCCAAGAAAGAUUCCGAUCUCAACAUUGUUUUCGACUGAAGGAUCUCUCACCAAUCCUCACUUCACGCUGCAGACUACAUUCUCUUCAACUGUUAUUAGUUGCUACAUUUCAAAAGAUCAACUUCCACAAGUUCCAUCAAGUCACGUCACUUCACGUUCGACCAUGCCACUUUAAAGACUAGCUG